CAAGCAACGGAACACUGGGGAGUGAAGAAAGGAUGACAGCAAACCCAAACAACUUGACAUCUGACAGUUACAGAAUAUUCAACUGGAAUUGUGGCUGGAAUGAAUGUCACCGAGUGAUGGAUGCAAUGGCUGUAGAACUUUGCUGGCCCCUACUCCACCCCCAGGAACAGAAUGACACCACUGUGCACAAAGGAUACUGCAUCUGGGAUUGGAAGCAUGAAGUGAGAGCUGAGUGGAAGCCGAAUAGGGUACCAAGGGCACGAUUCAGGGGCUGCCUCCCAGCCCAGCCUGGGGGGCUGCAGACGGGUGCAGUGUGUGCAGGACGGCCGGGGGCGGCGGCGUGUGGAUGCGGCACAACUCCCGAGGCCCUCCAGCUCAUGCAGGGAGAAGCUAGGACAGAGGCCACCCCUUGCUGUGGGCAGCCCUGUUCCCAGCCCUGAGGCCCUUGUAGCCCCCCGGCCUGCAGCCUGGGAGCGUGGGGCAUGCAGAGGAGCUGUGGGCCCCGCCACCGCCGCCACCCACCCUGG